rnacentral:Y_RNA from 1 species
GGCUGGUCCAAGUGCAGUGGUGUUUACAACUAACUGAUCACAACCAGUUACAGAUUCCUUCAUUCCUUCUCCACUCCCACUACUUCACUUGAGUAGCCUUAA